rnacentral:rRNA from 1 species
ACGGGAGGCAGCAGUGAGGAAUAUUGGUCAAUGGGCGAGAGCCUGAACCAGCCAAGUAGCGUGCAGGAUGACGGCCCUCCGGGUUGUAAACUGCUUUUAGUUGGGAAUAAAAAAGGCCACGUGUGGCCUAUUGUAUGUACCAUCAGAAAAAGGACCGGCUAAUUCCGUGCCAGCAGCCGCGGUAAUACGGAAGGUCCGGGCGUUAUCCGGAUUUAUUGGGUUUAAAGGGAGCGUAGGCGGGCGUUUAAGUCAGUGGUCAAAGCGUGUGGCUCAACCAUACCACGCCAUUGAUACUGGAUGCCUUGAGUGCACAUAAGGAUGGUGGAAUUCAUGGUGUAGCGGUGAAAUGCUUAGAUAUCAUGAAGAACUCCGAUUGCGAAGGCAGCUGUCCGGGGUGUAACUGACGCUAAUGCUCGAAAGUGCGGGUAUCAAACAGGAUUAGAUACCCUGGUA